UUUAGUCGUCUUUGAUGUUGUAUUCCUCGUCGUUGGUUUACCGUCAAUAGUCCUUGUUCGUCUUUGUUUUCAAGAUCUAGUUUUUGGGGAUCUUGACUUAUAUGCUCUCUUUCAUAGCUCGAGGACAGCUUCACAGUUUGCUGAUUUUGUUUUGUCUCCCUUUUCCUCUCUGUUUUCUCAUCGCGUUGCAGCUUUCAUUACUGCUUGCAUCUCUUGUAGGUCUCUCUUUCACCAUGCUUACCACUCCAGGUUGGAUAAUGUUUUCGUAUGUGUGUAUGCUAUGUGGAUUUUGAAGGUUAUUUAUGGUCUCAAACUUAUUAUCUGAUUUCACGAUGGUUGGUUUCGAUUAUCCCUCCCUCAGGUUGUUUCUCUUCUUCCCAUGUUUCCUUUGGUAUAGGUGUGUGGAGUUAGUCUCUUGGAGCUUUGGUCACUCUAUCAAAACUUUGUGUUUAUUCACUUGCAUGUGCGCCUUGUCUGUUAUUAUUUAGUUUGUGAGAUGUUUCUUACAUUUUUGCUAGUGGUUGUGCUUCUAGUACUUUAGACAUGCAUCUUCCGGCUUCUUGGUGACUUUGGCCUUCCCAUUAUUAUUCCCCCUCUCAUCUGUUUUUUUGGUUCUUUGCGUAGGUGCUUGAUCGCGCUUAUUUUUGUUCUGGAGAUUGUUUUGUUUCAGAUUUUAUCUUUUUAUCCUUUUUUUUAUUUUUACUUGUUCUUGCGAAACACUUUAUGGUAAUAUGAGGUAAGUUAGUCUUCGUUCUUGAUCUCCUUUCAGCUCUAAACCUCUAUUGAAUUAGUGUUACUAUGAAAUUUUGUUUUCCUAGUGAUAAUGGAGGUUUUAGAUUUUAAUUUUGUGUUGUUUUCUAGCUUCUUAUUUUUAGUUUGGUUAUUUUAUAAUUUUAAUAGUAAAAUAAAUAUAUAAUCUGUAAAAGAAAUAAUAGAAAUAGUAAAAAAUGAUAAAAUGAUGAAAGUUUAUGCUAUUUUUAGUUGUGAAUAAAGUAAAUAUUUAAAAUAUAUUUAUAUUAUUUUAUUUAUUUUCUAAAUUUUAGUGACCAAUAAAAUAGAUUCUCAAACUAUAAUGAUACUUAAUGUGAGAAUUAUUAGAUAAUGCACAAUUAGAAAGUGAUAGGACAAAUUGUAAUAAUUUAAAAGAAACAGGAUCUAAAAUACAAAAAGAAAAAACAUGUGGACACAUGUCAACAAACCCCUCUUACAAAGUCAGUAUGAAACUGUAAAAGCUGAUGACAAAAAAAAAAAAAAAAAAAAACCUCUCUUCCACAUGUUAUAAGAAGAGAACAAAGUCUACUUUAUAUAUAUAGAUCUUCUUUAAAUAUGUUAAUAGAAAUUUAUAUAUAUUUACUUACAUAUACACUUUUUUUAAUUCUCGCC
rnacentral:lncRNA from 1 species